GAUGAACGCUGGCGGCGUGCCUAAUACAUGCAAGUCGAGCGAACAGACGAGGAGCUUGCUCCUCUGACGUUAGCGGCGGACGGGUGAGUAACACGUGGAUAACCUACCUAUAAGACUGGGAUAACUUCGGGAAACCGGAGCUAAUACCGGAUAAUAUAUUGAACCGCAUGGUUCAAUAGUGAAAGACGGUUUUGCUGUCACUUAUAGAUGGAUCCGCGCCGCAUUAGCUACUUGGUAAGGUAACUGCUUACCAAGGCAACGAUGCGUAGCCGACCUGAGAGGGUGAUCGGCCACACUGGAACUGAGACACGGUCCAGACUCCUACGGGAGGCAGCAGUAGGGAAUCUUCCGCAAUGGGCGAAAGCCUGACGGAGCAACGCCGCGUGAGUGAUGAAGGUCUUCGGAUCGUAAAACUCUGUUAUUAGGGAAGAACAAAUGUGUAAGUAACUAUGCACGUCUUGACGGUACCUAAUCAGAAAGCCACGGCUAACUACGUG
rnacentral:rRNA from 1 species